UCACAAUGGAAUACAAUCAUUGGAAUUUAUAUAAUACGUAGUAAACGACAAUUAUCACUAUAAUUCAAAUGACAAGAAAUUUUCAAAAAAUAACUUCUCAGUUACUCACGCUACGUUUUCGAUAAAGAAUGAUAUUCGAAAUACGAAAAAAGUAUAGCAAGAGAAUUUAUCAAUAAUGUUUGUGAAGAAGCUUCGAUCAACAAUGUUACUAUUGUUGAUCGAAGUGAAGAAUAUAUUUGAAUAAUAGAAGGAAAAGAAAACUUUGUUGAAUUAGAUUGGCCAGGAAAAACCUAAAAUAAAUUCUAAGGUAUCAGGUAGUCCGUUUCUGAUAUAAUCAGAUGAUCUGACACACAGAGUUCGAGACGUAACACAAUCCAUUUAAUAAGCUACGCUGAUUUUGUUAAGAGAAAAAUGUAUCUCGAUAAAAUAAAUAUCUCGUAUAUUAGAAAAUAAAUAAACAAAAAUGAUGGUCAACAGCGUGAUAUUAAAGCUAUUUCGUGCUUGUCAGUAAAUCACAAGGGAAGGAUUAUACAUCGGCGGUGUCCAAACAAAACGGCUCAUUGACUUCCUGAUUAAUUACUAUGAGGACCGUGGUGACAUUACGAUACAGAGCAUCAUUUGCAAAAACUAAAACCGCAUUUAAUGUAUUGCUACAAAACUCGUUAAGAAAAAUAGACUAUAGCGGUCUACAUUGAGAAACUUGGAGUGAUUUUUAUGAUAAAACUUAAUUCGAUUUAGGUGUAGCAUAUCUAAUAUGAAUGAGAGAGUUAACUAGAAUAUGAAAUAUGAACAGCGGGAAAGCCACUCUCUUUGCGAUAACACGUAGUGAUAAUCCCGUGUUGCCUACGCGAGUAUGUCGUGUCUCACAUAAGUAGGGAUUUCGCAAAAAGGUAGUAAUAAGGUAUGCAUGCCCUCUUUCCUUUGUCGGCCACUCGCUCGCAACGUGACGUGAAUCAACGCAAGAAAUUCGCUAACCCUAUGCGAAGAAUCCGGGAGGUGAAAUGUAGACGACACAAUUCGUGAAAGUGUUUAUUCAUUCAUACGUUUCAAGUGUGAGCUUUUCGAAAGCACGUUGUCGAUAGUGGAGGGCACUUAGCUUGAAUCCAAAUAUAUUUUAGAUCGUGAAGAGAACCUGUUUGGUAAGUGAUACGCGUUCAGCCUAUCCUCAUUUAUUAUAGAAACUCAAAUUUGUAUGAUAGUAUAAAGGUGGGUGAAUACAGGCAGGGUCGAAUGGGUACAUCAUUGUGCGGGCGAACCGCGGCCGCGAUUACAAUGCUUUCGCUGUGACAUUUUCGCUAAUGGUUCCAGGGUAGGCAUAAUAAAACGACAAUACGACGGAAGAUAAGGUGGCAACUGAAAAUUUUACAACGAGAUUAAUUCAAUUCCGCUUGCAGUGUCUAGAUACGAGCUAGCUCCGGGACCUUUGUAUUUAAAAAGAACGCGAAGAGCAUUCAAAUAAAAAUUAAUGUUUUCUUUGUGAAUUAA